UGAGGAAUUUUGCACAAUGGGGGAAACCCUGAUGCAGCGACGCCGCGUGGGUGAUGAAGGCCUUCGGGUUGUAAAGCCCUGUCAGUGGGAAAGAAAGGUGCAGUAGUUAACAGCUGCUGUAAUUGACGGUACCCACAGAGGAAGCACCGGCUAACUCCGUGCCAGCAGCCGCGGUAAUACGGAGGGUGCGAGUGUUAUUCGGAAUUACUGGGCGUAAAGAGAACGUAGGCGGAUAUGCAAGUCAGAUGUGAAAGCCCCGGGCUUAACCUGGGAACUGCAUUUGAUACUGCGUGUCUUGAGUGUGGUAGAGGUGGAUGGAAUUCCCGGUGUAGAGGUGAAAUUCGUAGAUAUCGGGAGGAACACCAGAGGCGAAGGCGAUCCACUGGGCCAUAACUGACGCUGAGGUUCGAAAGCGUGGGUAGCAAACA
rnacentral:rRNA from 1 species